UCCCUGGUGGCUCAGAUGCUAAAGCGUCUGCCUACAAUGUGGGAGACCCAGGUUCAAUCCCUGGGUUGGGAA
rnacentral:tRNA from 1 species